rnacentral:rRNA from 1 species
UACGUAGGGCGCAAGCGUUGUCCGGAAUUAUUGGGCGUAAAGAGCUCGUAGGCGGUUUGUCGCGUCUGCUGUGAAAACCUAAGGCUCAACCUUGGGCUUGCAGUGGGUACGGGCAGACUAGAGUGCGGUAGGGGUGACUGGAAUUCCAGGUGUAGCGGUGGAAUGCGCAGAUAUCAGGAGGAACACCGAUGGCGAAGGCAGGUCACUGGGCCGCAACUGACGCUGAGGAGCGAAAGCAUGGGGAGCGAACAGG